UACAGAGGGGGCAAGCGUUAUUCGGAAUUAUUGGGCGUAAAGGGCGCGUAGGUGGCAAGGCAAGUGGAAGGUGAAAUCCCUCGGCUCAACUGAGGAACUGCCUUCCAGACUGCUGUGCUUGAGGCCGGGAGAGGCGAGUGGAAUUCCCAGUGUAGUGGUGAAAUGCGUAGAUAUUGGGAGGAACACCAGUGGCGAAGGCGACUCGCUGGACCGGUUCUGACGCUGAGGCGCGAAAGCUAGGGUAGCAAACGGG
rnacentral:rRNA from 1 species